AAACACGUGGGUUCAACUUUGAGUCUGAGUAGCCCCAUUGACUUGAGCAGAAGUGCUGAAGUUGAACUGGACCUGACUAAUGUUGUUUGUAUGUGCAAUUCUAGCUGCCAGUUCAACAUUUUUAAACAACUGAUUCCAAAAUGCCCAAAGUUGCUUACUACAUUGAGAUUCUAACUGGAAUGAUUUUAACACAGAAAAAAUUAAAUUAAAUAUUUGGCAGUGUGAGAAUUGAGCUGACUACUUUGCAAUCUGUGAUCAGUUAAUCAUUAGCACAGGGAUGCAUCAAUUCCAGUUUUCAGCUUCCAUGAUUCAGCAGCAGGACUGAAGGUCAGCCUCUUGUCUAUUAAUAUUUAAACAGCCAAGAGUAGCUAAAGAGGAGAAGCUUACAUGCUCAUUGAUUCUUCCAGAGAGAUUCAAAAUUGGUCAUGCAAAAUAGCAAAACCUACAUAUGAAGCUGAUUUCCUCUUACUUUCAUGAAUUAGCAGAUAAGAAAUAAAUGAAAUUUUCAAAUAUCAGAAUGGAAACAAUGCUCAGAAUUCCUAUUUUUUCCAUAAAGAAACAUUUAAAAGGAAAGUGUGCAGAGCCAAGCCUGACUUCAGCCAGUCAGAGAUUCUGCAGACAGAGGCUAUGUCAGGCCAUUCCUUAGGCAGAAUGUGGCUAUGAAUAUCAAUUUUCAUUUUGGAAGUAUCACAGGAGAAGCACUCCUUCAAUGAUAAUGUUUUCUGUGUAAAUGCUACUGUCCCUCCUCUCCCUGGUUCACAGGUUAUUAACUUUGGCUCCUGUCCAGAUCCACCUGCUGCCUUACCAGGAAAGCUUGGUACAGUGGCCAACCAGGAGGCCUAAAUCCCAGAGGAGUGGCUCUCCAAAAGAGCAAAGGCUUCUGGCAGAAAGUCCCUGUUAAUGCACAAACUACAACUGACUGAGGGCAAAGGGAAAAUACAUGUUUAUAUUGGCACUAUGAAGGGAUUUAUUUUACACAGAAGCUAAAAUGAAAAUUUGUGGUUGAAAAUCACUCAAUAAAAUCGAGUUAGAAUAGA